rnacentral:lncRNA from 10 species
CGUGGCUCUUUUUAAAAGCAGAAGGAGAGAAUGCAUAGUGGAAAAGACUGACUGAUUUUUGAGUUUGACUGUUUUGUGGAGAGCAUUGGACUGGGAGUCAAGGGCUAGAUUCCAGACCCCGCCAGGCCCCUAAGCUGCUGUGUGUAUGUAGCAAGCAUUUUGCCUCUCUGGGCCUCAAUUUCCCUCAUGUGUAUAUGAGGGUGUUAGUUGAUCUUUCAGGUGCACUUCAUAGGCAUCCAUGAAAAUCCUGAUGGUCUAAGAAUCUGCAAUACUUUCUAUUAGACGUUUAUUUUUUUCAAUAGGAUAACAGGCAGAAUAAUGGCAUCCCAAGUAUAUUCCCCUCCUAGUACCUGCAACCUGUGAAUAUCUUUCCUUACAUGACAGAAGGACUUUGCAGAUAUAAUUAAGGAUCUUGAGAUGGAGAGAUGACUCUGAAUUAUCCUAGCAGGGGCAGUGUAAUUGCAGGGAUCCUUACAAGAGGGAAGCAAGAGUGUCAGGGUUAGAGAGAGAGAAGAGAUCUGAAGACACUGAGCUGCUAGCUUUGGAGAUAGAAGCCAACACAUGCAGCUGGCCUCUGGAAGCUGGAAAAGACUCACACCUCAUAAAUGUGUCCUUCUUGACUGGUUGAACGUGCCAAUUUGGAGAGCAAGGUUGUCACCGUGGCAGUAGAUCUUCUUUCUAAUCAUAAAUACCAAGUGCAUUUAGCACCAUGCAGAACUCCAGAAGAGAAUGUCAAUGGAUUCCCUUUGCUGUAUCCUUAACAUGAAUUUCUGCACACACACACACACACACACACACACACACACACACGAACACUCCAAAUUUCCACAGAUGUGAAGUUAGGCAAAAAUGGAGGCCCAGGUCAGCCUGAGGGGAGGGUGUGGUCACGUGGGGAGGAUCUAGAAUGCCUGCCUUUGGUGUUGCUAGCAGAUUUACAGGAGUCUUAUUUGUUCUUUCUUUUUUUCUGAAGCACCAGGUGGCAAAGCCAAUUUCUUUCUCUUGAGGGCUGUCUUGUGAGUAACUGCCCAUCUGCCAGCAACAAAAAGGAGGAGGCCUCAGGCCGUGCUCCACACUCACCUCCUCAUGCUGCCCCAACAAAGACAGUUCAUCCCUGGCCUGCAACAGGUCCCUCUUGAGAUUGGUGUGAACUCCUCAGGCUGAUCAGAACAUAUUUCAGCUGAUGUUGGAUUUGCUAUGAUUGUAUCACACUGACUAAAGUGUCUGGUAGACGUAGACUGCGCAAGAAGAAAAUAGACUUAGAGAUCACAACGGCUUAAGAAUAAAGAAAUGACGAGAUUGCUGGGUCUAAUGGUAGUUCAGCUUUUAGCUCUCUGAGAACCUCCAUACUGCUUUCCACAAUGGUCGAAUUAUUUACACUCCCACAAACAGUAUAUACUCAGAUGAAUAUAAAUCAUUUUACCAUAAAGACACAUGCAUGCUAAUGUCCAUUGCAGCACCAUUCACAAUGAUAAGACAUGGAAUCAACCUAAAUGCCCAUCAAUGACAAAUUAGAUAAAGAAAAUGUGGUACAUAUACACCAUGGAAUACUAUGCAGCCACAAAAAAGAACAAGAUCAUGUCUUCUGUGGAAACUUGGAUGGAGCUGGAGGCCAUUAUCCUUAGCAAACUAAUGCAGAAACAGAAAACCAAAUAC